UUUAUUAAGACAAUGCAGACAUAAAACACAUCAUAUUGCCAUUCCCAAAUCUUAGCCAUACCACUUAUACCAAUCAAUGGCCAAUAAAUGACUUUCUGUGAUAGAUACAAAUACUCCAUUCAAGUUCAGUUACUAGAAUAGUAUCAGUAUAUCAUGCAGACAGCUUGCAUAAAUACAUGAGGAAUCAUAGCAUACCCUCAAUAGCUUCUGUAAUGUUUAGGCACGAAAACGGUCUUAUUCCAAAUUUCAAAAGAUGGAAUAAAGAAUGUUUUCAUAUAAAACACAUUUGGAAGAGUUGGGGUUUUUUAAAUUAAAAAAGGCAACUAAUCAACCUGCAAUACACACUUGCAAUUCAUCUUCUUAGUUACCAAAUCAGAUAGCCAUGUAAUAUUUUUCAUCUGAGGUAACUGGAUGUGAACAUUUCAGUGAUUUCCAAUAUCAAAGAGCUAAAUUCAAAAUAUUUUUUUCUGAUAAGUGUAAUAUAUUUGUAAUCAAAGGAAGAAAAAAUUGUCAGUCUUUGGGCACUAUUUUCUAUUUUAUCAGAUAAUUGAAAGUCAUUGGUUGUGUCACAGUACAAAAAUCUUGACUCCAUUACCAAUACUCAUUCAUUUACUGCUAAUUUCGAAAUGCGUUUGGACUGGAGGUAUGGAACAAAUGUUACUGCUUAUCAAACAUUGUUUCCUGAAAAUUUUAAUGCACAAAGUUUCCAGAUUUAUAUAUUCUUCAAUAAAUUAUUUUCAAAAUGAAAUGAAAAAAGAAAGGCGAGGGAAGCCUACAGUUUAUAUUCUGGGUGAAUAGCUUUCAGUAUCUUCCAGGUGGGGGCAACAGUAAGUCAGUUUUGAGAAGAGAAGGGAGAAUGGGCUCUUGCAGCUCCCUGAGUCCAGUUACAGAGGAGGAAAUGAUUUCCUGGUAGUAACGCCGUGAAUAAAAUAACCACGAGUUCCCAGAAGCCCAGUUUCCAGGACUUCGGGGACUCUGAGAGGCUAUGCGUGGCAAGGUUCAUGGCCUGGUGCGCCCGCCACCUCUCGGCUUCGCAGGCCAACCGGAGGGCGCACGCGCGCUGCGCACCUGUCGGAUAGCGCACAGUUGCGGUCGGUUGGUGUGUCCAGCCGACCCGCUCCCCGCCGCGCCGUGCCCCCAGGGAGUUGACACUACUCUCUGCGCUCCAGCUCACUCGCUUUCCAGGACCGCCGGGAAGCAGGGAAACCUUUCUCCCGUUUACAUCUCAUUCAUUCUUCCUCUGGACAAUUCAAAUCCAUUCACAACUGCUGCAGAUGUGUGCGGCGCGCACCUAUACCCUUAAACUCUACAGUCGAGGCAUCCGAGAAAACCUGCGUCCAGGCGGGGCGGCAGGGGUCCCACUCUCCUUUCCGCCUGUCUUUGCAAAUCCUGGGACUCUGAGGCACCGCUGAGCACUCUGGCGAGGAUGAGGGUAAUGCAUGAAGCAGAGGUGGAUCUUGCACACCCCCCGGGGAGAUGAACUCCCCACCGGCAUCCCCGCCUUCUCGAUUUUCCAGCGUGGAGGAGGCGAGGCGUGGAAAGCCCGAGAGGCGCGCAAACCAGGCCCCGCAGUGGCGGGGCGACCAGGGGCACCGCAGCGAGGGGCGGAGAAGCUCGAGUUCGCGGAGCCAGAAGCCCCCUCCUCUAAGGCCUCCCGGAGCUGGAGAGGGGGGUGGGGUGGGAGGUCCGGCGUGCGGCCAGCUACGUGUCGCUCCUCCGCGCGCCGCUCGCCGCGGCCGCCCGAGCCCUCGGGCCGCCGCCGCCGCCGCCCCGUCGGGCCGGUACUUGAGCCAACAGAUAAUCCAAGUGACGACCACCGAGAAGAGCGCCAGGAUGCUGGCCACCGACAGGCAGAUGGGCCCCACGGGGGAGGGCGACCCUGCCGCCGGGGCCGCGCCAGGGGGCGCCCCGCCGCCGGGGGCUCCCCCGCCGCCUCCACCGCUGUAGUGGUUGACGAAGAUGAGGCCGGUGAAGAGCAGCACCACCAUGGAGAGGAAGGAGAAGACCACGCACACGCAGCCGGCGAAGCAUUGCUUCCUGAGCUUGAAGGAGACGCGGAGACACAGAUUCAGCCAGGUCGUGCCGAUGUCCAGACGCUGACCGCAGGCAAUGGAGGUUGCACCUCACCCUAUGAAGAGAGACGCCUCCUCGCCAACAAACAAGGGGCCGAGGGUGGUUGUCUGGGGCCCCUGAGCUGGGGAUGUUCCCACUUCCUCCGGAUUCUGUGCAGAAGACAGCAGGACACCCCGGGGAAUAUCUGUGGGAAGGAAGAAUGAAUGGGAAAGAAGCCGAAGGAAAAGAAAGAAGCCACUAACCACCAGUGUACAGGCAAGAGGAGGAAUUGUCAUAACCCCUAGAGGCAGUCUGCACUCCCGGGCUUGUGGCCACAUCACUCCAAGCUCACAUCUCCUCUCUCUGACUCUGGCCUUCCUGCUUCCCUCUUAUAAGGACCCUGUGAUUACGUUGGGCCCGUUGGAUAAUCCAGGAUAUGCUCCCCAUCUCAAGACCUAUAACUUAAUCACAUCUGCAAAGUCCUUUUUGCAGGCAUAUGAGGUAAGAUAGUCAUAGGUUCUUGGGAUUAGGAGGUGGAUCUUUAGGGGCCAUUUUUCUCUUGACCACAUAAGCUCUACAGCCGCAACAAGGCUGCUCACAGUUGGUGACUGGCUCCUACAUUGCAGCUGCCCCAGGCCCACUUAGCUGCAAAGGGCCUGAGAGGAUCAAUAUCACCCAAUCCUUUAUGGGCCACCAAUGGGCUGUAGUAAACCAGCUAGACAACUUGACUAUAAAAUGUAUCAUCAUGUGAAAGCACAUUUCUUGCCGGCCCCUGCGUUUAUUUUCCUGACAACGUCCUGCUGCAGCCAGUCUCCUGUGCUGCCUGGAGUGCUGAGGAAAUAACACCCCCAGGAGCAGCCUGCAAGCAAAGACUAAUGGGAGUGGGUGCGUACCCCAGCUCCCUCGCCCCUCCAGCGGAGAUAAUUCUGAGGCAUGUGCUCUCUCCCUGCUCUCAGUUUCCCCAGCAGAAUUUAGCUCCAGACACUCGCAGUGGUAGCUGGGUUGACAGGACACCCUUUACUGGCUGUUUUCCCUUCCUUGCUUCCUGUUUCUGUUCCCCUACUGGUGUUUCCUUGGGAUCACCUCUUAUCUCAGGGUCUGUUUCUGGGGGAACACAAGUUAAAAUCUGGGGAAAUGCUUUGAAAGGAAAGGGGAGUAGGAAAAGAAUGUUUAGACACAUGUACAAAGAUUUUUCUGUUGAACGCCUCUUGAAGUAAAAACUGGGGGGGGGGUGUAACAGUAACCCAUAGACUUAUUUCAGGGAAUUCCAGGUCCUGAAGGCUUGUGUUUCACUUCCAAGGUGUAUCCUGGGUAUUGAGGCAAAAAAGCAUUAAUAAAAGUGAGCCUAAAGGGGGAUUGCCCAGGCCUGCAUCCCCUCCCCGGGAACAUCCCAGGCUCAUUCCCUAGAAAUAACUCAAGCUGUCCAAACACUCCUAAAAAGAGGAGAUAAGACCCAACUGGUAUUAACUGGUUCCUCACAUGUGUGCAAACUGCUGAAACCUGUCUGUUAUUUGAACUCUGGUUUAUUAUAAUACAAUUAAAAUGAAAUGAACAGUAAGGCUUGCUCCCCCAUGGGCUUUUCUGUAUGCAUUCUGGGUAAGAACAUGUACAGAAAGAAACUAGUUCUAUAACCAACACAGGACAAUCAAAUGACCUCAGUCUAU